CACGUAGGGGGCAAGCGUUGUCCGGAAUCAUUGGGCGUAAAGAGCUCGUAGGCGGCUCAGUAAGUCGGGUGUGAAACCUCCAGGCUCAACCUGGAGACGCCACCCGAUACUGCUGUGGCUAGAGUCCAGUAGGGGAGUGUGGAAUUCCCGGUGUAGCGGUGAAAUGCGCAGAUAUCGGGAGGAACACCAGCGGCGAAGGCGACUUCUUGGCCUGUUCUUGACGCUGAGGCGCGAAAGCUGGGGGAGCAAACGGG
rnacentral:rRNA from 1 species